GAAUUCAGAAAAGAGCCAGUGGAAAACAUGGAUGAUGUCAUCUACUAUGUGAAUGGCACUUACCGCCUGCUGGAAUUUCUUGUGGCCCUCUGUGUGGUGGCCUAUGGCGUCUCAGAGACCAUCUUUGGAGAAUGGACAGUGAUGGGCUCAAUGAUCAUCUUCAUUCAUUCCUACUACAACGUGUGGCUUCGGGCCCAGCUGGGGUGGAAGAGCUUUCUUCUCCGCAGGGAUGCUGUGAAUAAGAUUAAAUCGUUACCCAUUGCUACGAAAGAGCAGCUUGAGAAACACAAUGAUAUUUGUGCCAUCUGUUAUCAGGACAUGAAAUCUGCUGUGAUCACGCCUUGCAGUCAUUUUUUCCAUGCAGGCUGUCUUAAGAAAUGGCUGUAUGUCCAGGAGACCUGCCCUCUGUGCCACUGCCACCUGAAAAACUCCUCCCAGCUUCCAGGAUUAGGAACUGAGCCAGUUCUACAGCCUCAUGCUGGAGCUGAGCAAAACGUCAUGUUUCAGGAAGGUACUGAACCCCCAGGCCAAGAGCAUACUCCAGGGACCAGGAUACAGGAAGGUUCUAGGGACAAUAAUGAGCACAUCGCCAGACGACCAGAUAACCAGGAAGGGGCUUUUGACCCCAAAGAAUGUCCUCACAGUGCAAAAGAUGAAGCACAUCCUGUUGAAUCAGCCUAGAGGAGAAGCAGCAGGAAUGAUGCUUUUGAUACUCUGGAGGAGAAGUUAACUCAAGAUGGAAUUCAUGUUCUGAUUUGAGGAAUGAAAAUGAGAUGAUCAGGCAGGAAACUGACAUUCCAAGGAUCUAAUCCAGGAAGUACUCUCAGUGGGAACCACCUGCUUUCAUCCCCUGACAUUGUGGGAGAAAUUUUGCAAUGUAUGUUAAUCAAAAUGUAUUUAUAUGUUCUAUGCUGAUGUUUUAUAGAGGUUUGUGAAGAAAAUUCAACCUCAACAACUUCAGAAACUGCCCCUGAUAUGUGUGAGAGAGAAAUAAAAUCAGAUUUUGAGUGUUGAAGGGACUGAGAAAGUGAGGAUAAAGAGCAUGAGGACAGCAUAGAAGGAAGGAGGCAGAAGUGGAACUGAACUUUCACUCUCCAUGGGACAGAUCAAUCUCAUUAUCAAGUCUGAAUAGCAACCAGCCCUCUCCUCCACCCCGUUUCUCCUCAGUUAAUUGGAACUCAGUCAGAUGAUUAUUGAGUCUUGUACAGCACUGAAAUGAAAUCAAAGAUGAAGAAGCAUUGAUUGUAUUCAAAGAUUGAAGCACGCUCAUUCUUUGUAUGUGCUUUAGGGAAGGGGUGGGUGGGCACUUGGGCCUUGCGGGUGCAUUCAUGUAAUCUGAGACUCUUGAAUUUUAUGACGGAGUCUUCAAUAUUUUGAUGUAUAUGAAACUUUUGUUAAUAUGUUGUAUACUUUGCUGGCUGUGUGAAGUAAACUAAAACUCUAAUGAACACUUUGGAGUCCGCUUUAGUGAAGGAGACCAAAGUGGGAAGGGCUUUAGGGCACUGAUAGAGGCCCUGGGUGUACUUUUCAAUCCUGUGUAAUGUUUAAUUCUUGGAACUGAAUCAAAACAGUGUUAAAUUAUGGCAAUAUUUGCACUUUGGGAAUGAGUACAUAACUGUAUGAUCACACUCUGCAAAUGCCACUUUUAAAGCUGUUAAUAGACUUUGCACCUUUUCUUUGACAAGGAUGUGUCAUAUUUAAAUUUUUACAUUCAUCAAGGCUACAGGUAGAACUGGGGAGGGGGGAAUGUAAUUUUUUAUGGGAAUUUUGAUAUGAAAAGAAACUAGUCAUUUAUUUAUACAAUAGGCUUGGCUCAAAAAGUGUUUUUCAGACCUCGGUAUUCCUAAUGUGGGAUGUGACUUUAUUUUAUUUUUAGUAGCAAAUUUGGAUGUAGACUGACAGACAUAGCUGAAUGUCUUAAUAAAUUUAAAUUUGAAGAU
rnacentral:sRNA from 1 species